UGCGGGCUCGACGGUGCUCGCGAGGGACGUCCGACGCCGGUCCUGACGUGCCCCGUGUGCGGAUCUCGUCCUCCUCCGAAGGCCCGUCCUCCCCCGCCGCCUCCGUCCCACCUUUCGGUCCCCACUUUGAGACCUCCCUCCAGCGGUCGCGCGCGCCGCGGCUUCUUCGCGCCCUCUUCCCCACCUGAGCGCGACCGCCGGAAGCCGCGGCGACCAGGGGGGCGGGGGCGGCGGGCAGGCCUCCCCACCCGACUCGACCCGCCCGGCGUCCACCAAUGAUCUGCCGCUGUCUCCGCCGAUGCGAAGCGACUCCUUCCUCUCCCUCCCGGCCCGGGCGGGUGGGGACUCCUCCGAGGAGAUACUCCUGGUGAUGCUAAAUCGACGGGCUGGACUAGUGUAGGAAUAGACGCCUAAGGAGGGGUUUAUUUAACCCUUCGACUAUGGGACCCUUUCGACAUAUGGGCGAAAUUCAUCAAGGCGCGCAUGCAACAUUGGAUCAAACGUCGGGCACCUUUAGUCGCCUGCAUUAGCCAAAGGGUUAAGAAGGAAUCGCUUCUCUGUGAGAACACUUGGGAGUGGAGUCGCUCGAUGCUUCAAGCUGAAGACUCAUGGAUUUGGCCGAUCGUCCAAAUCUUUUUCGAAUUUUAUUAAUAUCAGGGAUAGUUGGCAACCCUUUGCGAACCAUUGACAACGUCUAGCGGUCUCUGGCAACCUCCAGCAAUCUCCGACCUCGAGACCCUCCGAGACCCUCCGAGAGCGUCCCAUCGCGCAACCUUCGGGCGCAGCUCCGCCCUGCUGCUGCGUCCUCGUCGUCGUCGAGGUUCGCGUCGCCUUUUCUCCUCUCUUUUUCCGCGAUUCCACCCCUGCUGCUCCCCCCCUUCCUGUCUCUUCCCUUCGAUUUCCUCGAAUAUUUUCCGACCUCCGAGCGAUGUCCCAUCUCGACCGCACCGCCGCGCCAUAUGGAAAUAACUGCACUGGAAUCAUAAAGUUCACCUCAGCCGAGGGAAACGUCGGCCUUUCCUCGUUUUUUAGAUGAGUUCUGCCGACGUUACUUUCCUGGUGCGACCCCAAUAUCGAAUGCCUCUCGCGAAAUUCUAUAUCGACGCGGAAUGUAACUUUUGACCUUUACCCUGUUUUAAAAAAAGAUAUUGAAAUUUUAUAUCGUUUUUAUUGCAAGUUUUACUCAGACAUGGUACACUAAUUUGAUAAC